rnacentral:rRNA from 1 species
UCGAGAGGCUUCGGCAAUGGGCGAAAGCCUGACCGAGCGACGCCGCGUGAGCGAUGGAGCCCUUCGGGGUGUAAAGCUCUUUUGCUGGGGAAGAAACGCGUCGGGUCCAAUACACCCGACGUUUGACGGUACCCGGCGAAUAAGCUCCGGCUAACUCCGUGCCAGCAGCCGCGGUAAUACGGGGGGAGCAAACGUUGUUCGGAAUCACUGGGCGUAAAGGGCGCGUAGGCGGCCCUGUAAGUGGUGUGUGAAAUCCGAUGGCUCAACCAUCGAGCUGCGCUCCAUACUGCAGGGCUUGAGUACAGCAGAGGAAAGUGGAAUUCCUGGUGUAGCGGUGAAAUGCGUAGAUAUCAGGAGGAACACCGUUGGCGAAGGCGACUUUCUGGGCUGCUACUGACGCUGAGGCGCGAAAGCUGGGGGAGCGAAACAGGAUUAGAUACCCUGGUAGUCCCAGCCGUAAACGUUGGGUGCUA